GGCCGUGUCGCAAAAUCUGCGUGCCGCCCAUAAGUACCAUUUGUCCGCCACCGAUCACUGACGUUUCGCGAGCGGCACGAGUCUGGGUGGCUUUGUCGUUCCCUUUUCCACCGUGAGCUCUUUCUUCCUUUGAAGCGAGCAUCCAAUUGAUGGGAAGAAAAAGGGAAAAGGACAUGGAAAUUCCAUCACCCAUCAAUCCGUAUGACAAAAUUGAAAAUGGGUUGUUGAUCACGUAAGCUACCGCAAUAUCUGAAACCCUCACAACACGGCAUGGGUUAAAUGUGUGGCGAAGAAACGUUCGCUUCCAGCCAUGUCGACGUGGAGGAGGACGACGAAAUGGGAAAAGGAUGAUGAGAGAUUGCUUGUUCGAUACAACGUCCUAAAAGUCAAAAGUGUUGUUUCUGGGAUGGAGCCGAUCUUGUCGAUUGUGCUCGGAGUUGAAGUCUUUCUUCUUCUUUGUGGAUCGUCCACUGGAAUUGCACUAUCUUGAAACCAUGGAUCGGAAACCCAUGACCAUGAUUCUCUCCACAAGUGCAUGUAUUGACCGGUUGGUUCGCUUCCUGUGAGUAAUGAUGGUCUCAACCACCCAACUUCUUUUCCCCCUUAAUGUAAGAAUCACAUGAAUAAGUUGACACCCUCAAAUUACCUCUGUAAAAGUGAAUCACUUUGGCAGAUGAUGACAACCGAAACUACUGAA